rnacentral:rRNA from 1 species
CGCUGGCGGCGUGCUUAACACAUGCAAGUCGAACGAUGAAGCCUAACUUGCUAGGUGGAUUAGUGGCGAACGGGUGAGUAAUACGUGAGUGACCUACCUUUGACUCUGGGAUAAGCCUGGGAAACUGGGUCUAAUACCGGAUACGACCAAUCUCCGCAUGGGGUGUUGGUGGAAAGCGUUAUGGAGUGGUUUUAGAUGGGCUCACGGCCUAUCAGCUUGUUGGUGAGGUAAUGGCUUACCAAGGCGACGACAGGUAGCCGGCCUGAGAGGGUGACCGGCCACACUGGGACUGAGACACGGCCCACACUCCUACGGGAGGCAGCAGUGGGGAAUAUUGCACAAUGGGCGCAAGCCUGAUGCAGCGACGCCGCGUGAGGGAUGACAGCCUUCGGGUUGUAAACCUCUGUUAGCAUCGAAAAAACGAAAGUGACGGUAGGUGCAGAGAAAGCGCCGGCUAACUACAUGCCAGCAGCCGCGGUAAUACCUAGGGCGCGAGCGUUGUCCGGAAUUAUUGGGCAUAAAGAUCUUGUAGGCGGUUGGUCGCGUCUGCUGUGAAAGGCUGGGGCUUAACCCUGGUUUUGCAGUGGGUACGGGCUAACUAGAGUGCAGUAGGGGAGACUGGAAUUCCUGGUGUAGCGGUGGAAUGCGCAGAUAUCAGGAGGAACACCGAUGGCGAAGGCAGGUCUCUGGGCUGUAACUGACGCUGAGAAGCGAAAGCAUGGGGAGCGAACACGAUUAGAUACCCUGGUAGUCCAUGCCGUAAACGUUGGGCACUAGGUGUGGGGGACAUUCCACGUUUUCCGCGCCGUAGCUAACGCAUUAAGUGCCCCGCCUGGGGAGUACGGCCGCAAGGCUAAAACUCAAAGAAAUUGACGGGGGCCCGCACAAGCGGCGGAGCAUGCGGAUUAAUUCGAUGCAACGCGAAGAACCUUACCAAGGCUUGACAUAUACUGGACUGCGUCAGAGAUGGCGUUUCCCUUCGGGGCUGGUAUACAGGUGGUGCAUGGUUGUCGUCAGCUCGUGUCGUGAGAUGUUGGGUUAAGUCCCGCAACGAGCGCAACCCUCGUUCUAUGUUGCCAGCAUCGUGAUGGUGGGGACUCAUAGGAGACUGCCGGGGUUAACUCGGAGGAAGGUGGGGAUGACGUCAAAUCAUCAUGCCCCUUAUGUCUUGGGCUUCACGCAUGCUACAAUGGCCGGUACAGAGGGUUGCGAUACUGUGAGGUGGAGCUAAUCCCUAAAAGCCGGUCUCAGUUCGGAUUGGGGUCUGCAACUCGACCCCAUGAAGUUGGAGUCGCUAGUAAUCGCAGAUCAGCAACGCUGCGGUGAAUACGUUCCCGGGCCU